rnacentral:rRNA from 1 species
GACGAACGCUGGCGGCGUGCUUAACACAUGCAAGUCGAACGGAAAGGCCCUGCUUGCAGGGUACUCGAGUGGCGAACGGGUGAGUAACACGUGGGUGAUCUGCCCUGCACUUCGGGAUAAGCCUGGGAAACUGGGUCUAAUACCGGAUAGGAGCCAUUUUUAGUGUGAUGGUUGGAAAGUUUUUUCGGUGUAGGAUGAGCUCGCGGCCUAUCAGCUUGUUCGUGGGGUAAUGGCCUACCAAGGCGGCGACGGGUAGCCGGCCUGAGAGGGUGGACGGCCACAUUGGGACUGAGAUACGGCCCAGACUCCUACGGGAGGCAGCAGUGGGGAAUAUUGCACAAUGGGCGCAAGCCUGAUGCAGCGACGCCGCGUGGGGGAUGACGGCCUUCGGGUUGUAAACUCCUUUCGCUAGGGACGAAGCUUUUUGUGACGGUACCUAGAUAAGAAGCACCGGCUAACUACGUG